rnacentral:lncRNA from 1 species
CUUCCAGGAUAAGAAGAUGUUCCAGCGAUAAACUCUUGAGACUGCAUUGUGGACUGUGUUUGGGGAUUGAAAUUUAUCUCUGGCCGUGGUUCAGGCAAGCCAAUCUGUUGUUGGUUGGAAUAGUUCUGAUUUACAGAAUAUGGUCCUAACUGUUUAUCUUCCAGUAUUGUCGAGAUCUGAUCGGUCAAAUACUUCUGCAGGUACACCACCACAUCAGCUACUAUCAUCGUUAGGGCUUGAUUUUGGAUUGGAGCUUGACUUGGGAAAAGAUUAGGAACAAUUCCCAUUUGGUUCUGCUGAUUGGUCUCAGGUCUCACGAAUUGGUACGUCAUUGGCAUCAUUGGAGCUUGAGUGUGGACUAAACUGGGAACACUACCCAUUUGGUUCUGCUGAAUAAUCUCAGGUCUCAUAAAUUGCUGCUCUUGCUGGUACAUCAUUGGCAUCAUUGGAGCUUGACUGUGGACUAGAUUUUGAACAAUCCCCAUUUGGUUAUGCUGAUUGGUCUCAGGUCUCACGAAUUGCUGCUCUUGCUGGUACAUCAUUGGAGCUUGCCUGUGGGAUAGAUUUGAAACACUGCCCAUUUGGUUAUGCUGAUUAGUCUCAGGUCUCAUAAAUUGUUGCUCUUGCUGGUACAUCAUUGGUUGAUACUGCAUACAUAAACUUUGGUUGAAAUUUUCUUGUGCUCCACGGUUUGGUUCAGUGUUCUGACGGCUCCUGAAAUGCUGAUAUUGAAGCUGAGGAACAUGAGCCAUUUGAGAGUCAUAGUAACGAUUUGAAUCCCUUCCCAUUUGGUCGCAC